CGCGUGCAGGAUGCGGUCCUAUGGAUUGUAAACUGCUUUUAUACGAGAAGAAACAGUACUUCGUGAAGUACCUUGACGGUAUCGUAAGAAUAAGGAUCGGCUAACUCCGUGCCAGCAGCCGCGGUAAUACGGAGGAUCCAAGCGUUAUCCGGAAUCAUUGGGUUUAAAGGGUCCGUAGGCGGUUUAGUAAGUCAGUGGUGAAAGCCCAUCGCUCAACGGUGGAACGGCCAUUGAUACUGCUAAACUUGAAUUAUUAGGAAGUAACUAGAAUAUGUAGUGUAGCGGUGAAAUGCUUAGAGAUUACAUGGAAUACCAAUUGCGAAGGCAGGUUACUACUAAUGGAUUUGACGCUGAUGGACGAAAGCGUGGGUAGCGACAGGAUUAGAUACCCUGGUAGUCCACGCCCNAACGAUGGAUACUACUGUUGGGGAGCAAUCUCANUGGCUANCGAAAGUGAUAANUAU
rnacentral:rRNA from 1 species